rnacentral:ncRNA from 1 species
CUUAUCAAGAGCGGCUGAGGGAACAGGCCCUGUGAAGCCCGGCAACCUGCGAAGGCAAGGUGCCAAAUCCUGCGGGAAACCGAAAGAUAAG